rnacentral:rRNA from 1 species
AUUGAACGCUGGCGGCAGGCCUAACACAUGCAAGUCGAACGAGUGGCGCACGGGUGAGUAAUGUCUGGGAAACUGCCCGAUGGAGGGGGAUAACUACUGGAAACGGUAGCUAAUACCGCAUACCAUCGGAUGUGCCCAGAUGGGAUUAGCUAGUCGGGGGGGUAACGGCUCACCUAGGCGACGAUCCCUAGCUGGUCUGAGAGGAUGACCAGCCCCACUGGAACUGAGACACGGACCAGACUCCUGAGAGAGGCAGAAGUGGGUAAUAUUGCACAAUGGGCGCAAGCCUGAUGCAGCCAUGCCGCGUGUAUGAAGAAGGCCUUCGGGUUGUAAAGGACUUUCAGCGGGGAGGCGUUACCCGCAGAAGUAGCACCGGCUAUCGCCGUGGCAGCAGCCGCGGUAAUAC